rnacentral:rRNA from 1 species
AACGCGAAGAACCUUACCAGCCCUUGACAUCCCGGUCGCGGAGACCAGAGACGGACUCCUUCAGUUCGGCUGGACCGGAGACAGGUGCUGCAUGGCUGUCGUCAGCUCGUGUCGUGAGAUGUUGGGUUAAGUCCCGCAACGAGCGCAACCCUCGCCCUUAGUUGCCAUCAUUUAGUUGGGCACUCUAAGGGGACUGCCGGUGAUAAGCCGGAGGAAGGUGGGGAUGACGUCAAGUCCUCAUGGCCCUUACGGGCUGGGCUACACACGUGCUACAAUGGCGGUGACAGAGGGAUGCAAAGGGGCGACCCUUCGCAAAUCUCAAAAAGCCGUCUCAGUUCGGAUUGGGGUCUGCAACUCGACCCCAUGAAGUUGGAAUCGCUAGUAAUCGCAGAUCAGCACGCUGCGGUGAAUACGUUCCCGGGCCUUGUACACACCGCUCGUC